GACGAACGCUGGCGGCGUGCUUAACACAUGCAAGUCGAACGGAAAGGCCCUGCUUUUGUAGGGUGCUCGAGUGGCGAACGGGUGAGUAACACGUGAGUAACCUGCCCUUGACUUUGGGAUAACUUCAGGAAACUGGGGCUAAUACCGGAUAGGAGCUCCUGCUGCAUGGUGGGGGUUGAAAAGUUUCGGCGGUUGGGGAUGGACUCGCGGCUUAUCAGCUUGUUGGUGGGGUAGUGGCUUACCAAGGCUUUGACGGGUAGCCGGCCUGAGAGGGUGACCGGCCACAUUGGGACUGAGAUACGGCCCAGACUCCUACGGGAGGCAGCAGUGGGGAAUAUUGCACAAUGGGCGGAAGCCUGAUGCAGCAACGCCGCGUGCGGGAUGACGGCCUUCGGGUUGUAAACCGCUUUCGCCUGUGACGAAGCGUGAGUGACGGUAAUGGGUAAAGAAGCACCGGCUAACUACGUG
rnacentral:rRNA from 1 species